rnacentral:rRNA from 1 species
UACAGAGGGGGCAAGCGUUGUCCGGAAUUACUGGGCGUACAGCGCGCGCAGGCGGUUGCCGACGUGCCGUGUGACAAACGGGGGCUCAACCCCCGAGGGCCACGGUAAACGGGGCGACUGGAGGAAGGGAGAGGGAUGUGGAAUGCCCGGUGGAGCGGUGAAAUGCGUAGAGAUCGGGCGGAACACCAGCGGCGAAGGCGG